rnacentral:lncRNA from 1 species
AUCAUCAUAAGUGCCUACAAGUAUCAUCACCUCAGCUUAGGAGGUAUCACCACUAGCAACUACAUUGCUAUUUUCGAUACCAUCACAAAAACUCUAGUGAUACCUGGUACCUAUAUGGUAUCAGAUAAGACCUGGUACGAUGGUCAGCGUUUCGCGCUCAUCGGGGGAUAUGAGCAGGCAAGGUGGUGCUGCAUGCUGAAAAUCGGGAAUCAGGAUGGAGAACUAGUUCUUGUGCAAUUUGACAUUGGUGGUGUCACCAUCUUCUCGCUAAUGUCUCCGUUGAGGAAGGGACAGAUCGAUGGGGACGUCAAGGUUGACGCUGAGCACGUUGGUGUUGAUAGCCACGACGUCCAGGAUAGCCAGGCUGGUGAUGAGCGGGCAGCAUAG